AGUUUGUAGGUUAGGUGAGCAUAUUGACUGUAAUGAUCUUUUGAUAAGAGAAGAAGUCUAACAAAAGUAAAUUAGAGUUAAAUUUUAAAAAUAAAAAUUUUUUGUUAUUAAUGAGAUAUAAGGUAUGGUUUGUUGAAUUGGGAAAGGUGUUUAAAUUAAAUAUUAGUAAGUUUAUGUACCUUUGGUAUCAGGGUUUAUAGAUUUCUAAAACUAUUAUGUUAUUCCCGAAUAGAUACGAUUUAAUUAGAUGAAUUUAAUUGUAGCAAAAAUUUUUUAAAUUUUAAUUAGAAGUGACAAGCUUAUCGGGUGUCUAGAUCUGGUUUCUUAGUUUCUGCUUAAGGCUAAUUUUCUUACGAAAUUUUAUAUCUAUAAAAGAUUAGUUUUAUAGGGACCAAUAAAAGUAAAGAAAAUUUUGUUUCAUUUGUUUAAGUAAGAUAAAAUUAAAAAUUUAUAAUUUUAGUUAUAAUUAUAAAAUUAGUAUUAAGAAAAAAUUUGGGGUUUUAACUCGACAAAGUUAUCAAAACCAGUUUACCAAAAACAUGUCCCUCUUUAAUUUCUUGGGUCGGCCCUGCUCACUGAAUUUUAAAGAGCCGCUUUAGUGUUAAAGUAGCAUAAUCAAUUGUCCUCUUAUUAAGGUCUAGAAUGAACGGGAGAAUUAUUGAUAAAUUAUAUACACUGAAAUUUAAAAAAUUAAAUUUUAAUUUAUAAUGCUUAAAUUAAUUAAGGGGACGAGAAGACCCUAGGAUCUUUACAGUUGCAAAUUUUAACUGUUUAGUUGGGGAAAUUAGAAAAAUAAACUUUUCUAGAUUUAAACAUUAUAGAUGUUUGUUUAAGAUUAAAGUAAAUUAAGAUAAAAUUACCCUAGGGAUAACAGCGCCAUAACAAGUCAGAUGAUCAGAAUUUUACUUGUGAUUGCGACCUCGAUGUUGAAUUAAAAUUAGAGGCCUGGAAGUUCAGGCCUGAUUCAGUCUGUUCGACUGGUUAAUUUUACAUGAUUUGAGUUCAGACCGACGUAAGUCAGGUUAGUUUCUAUCUCUUAUUUUCACCCAGGAGUACGAAAGGAGAAUGAGGUAGUGAUUAAAUU
rnacentral:rRNA from 1 species